GAUGAACGCUGACAGAAUGCUUAACACAUGCAAGUCAACUUGAACUUCGGUUUGGGUGGCGGACGGGUGAGUAACGCGUAAAGAACUUGCCUCACAGAUAGGGACAACAUUUGGAAACGAAUGCUAAUACCUGAUAUUAUGAUUUUAGGGCAUCCUAGAAUUAUGAAAGCUAUAUGCACUGUGAGAGAGCUUUGCGUCCCAUUAGCUAGUUGGAGAGGUAACGGCUCACCAAGGCGAUGAUGGGUAGCCGGCCUGAGAGGGUGAUCGGCCACAAGGGGACUGAGACNCGGCCCUUACUCCUACGGGAGGCAGUANUGGGGAAUAUUGGACAAUGGACCAAAAGUCUGAUCCCNCAAUUCUGUGUGCCCUAUGAAGUUUUUCGGAAUGUAAACUGNUUNNUNUUGGGAAGAAAAAAAUGACCGU
rnacentral:rRNA from 1 species